UACGGGGGGGGCAAGCGUUGUUCGGAAUUACUGGGCGUAAAGGGCUCGUAGGCGGCCAACUAAGUCAGACGUGAAAUCCCUCGGCUUAACCGGGGAACUGCGUCUGAUACUGGAUGGCUUGAGUUCGGGAGAGGGAUGCGGAAUUCCAGGUGUAGCGGUGAAAUUCGUAGAUAUGGGGAGGAACACCGGUGGCGAAGGCGGCGUGCUGGACCCGAUCUGACGCUGAGGCGCGAAAGCCAGGGGAGCAAACGGG
rnacentral:rRNA from 1 species